rnacentral:rRNA from 1 species
UACUCGAGUGGCGAACGGGUGAGUAACACGUGGGUGAUCUGCCCUGCACUCUGGGAUGAGCCUGGGAAACUGGGUCUAAUACCGGAUAGGACCGCACUUUAGUGUGUGUGGUGGAAAGUUUUUUCGGUGUAGGAUGAGCCCGCGGCCUAUCAGCUUGUUGGUGGGGUAAUGGCCUACCAAGGCGGCGACGGGUAGCCGGACUGAGAGGUUGGUCGGCCACAUUGGGACUGAGAUACGGCCCAG